rnacentral:tRNA from 1 species
GACUUCAUGGUGUAAUGGUAGCAUACUCGGCACGUAUUCAAGAGGUCUAGGUUCGAGUCUUGGUGAGGGCA